rnacentral:rRNA from 1 species
GACGAACGCUGGCGGCGUGCUUAACACAUGCAAGUCGAGCGGGGUUUAUCGGAUUAGCUUGCUAAACUGAUAAACCUAGCGGCGGACGGGUGAGUAACGCGUGAGCAAUCUGCCUCAUACAGGGGGAUAACAGGUGGAAACACCUGCUAAUACCGCAUAAGACUCCACUACCGCAUGGUAGAGAAGUCAAAGGGAUUACCGGUAUGAGAUGAGCUCGCGUCCCAUUAGCUAGUUGGUAGGGUAAAGGCCUACCAAGGCGACGAUGGGUAGCCGACCUGAGAGGGUGAUCGGCCACACUGGGACUGAGACACGGCCCAGACUCCUACGGGAGGCAGCAGUGGGGAAUAUUGCACAAUGGAGGGAACUCUGAUGCAGCAACGCCGCGUGAGUGAAGAAGGUUUUCGGAUCGUAAAACUCUGUCAUUGGGGAAGAAUAAAUGACGGUACCCAAUGAGGAAGCCCCGGCUAACUACGUGCCAGCAGCCCGCGGUAAUACGUAGGGGCGAGCGUUGUCCGGAAUUACUGGGCGUAAAGGUACCGUA